AACGCACAUUGCGCCCGCCAGUAUUCUGGCGGGCAUGCCUGUUCGAGCGUCAUUUCAACCCUCAAGCCCAGCUUGGUGUUGGGAGCUGCAGCCCUGCUGCACUCCCCAAAUACAUUGGCGGUCACGUCGAGCUUCCAUAGCGUAGUAAUUUACACAUCGUUACUGGUAAUCGUCGCGGCCACGCCGUUAAACCCCAACUUCUGAAUGUUGACCUCGGAUCAGGUAGGAAUACCCGCUGAACUUAA
rnacentral:misc_RNA from 1 species